GACGAACGCUGGCGGCGUGCUUAACACAUGCAAGUCGAACGGAAAGGCCCUGCUUUUGUGGGAUGCUCGAGUGGCGAACGGGUGAGUAACACGUGAGUAACCUGCCGUUGAUCUUGGGAUAACUUCGGGAAACUGUGGCUAAUACCGGAUAGGAGCUCCUGCUGCAUGGUGUUGGUUGGAAAGUUUCGGGGGGUGGGGAUGGACGCGCGGCUUGUUAGUUUGUUGGUGGGUUAGUGGCUUACCAAGGCGCUGACGGGUGGCCGGCCUGGGAGGGUGACCGGCCACAUUGGGACUGGGAUAGGCCCAGGACUCCACCGGAGGGAAGAGGUGGGAAUUUUUGCCCAUGGGGCGGAGGCCGGAUGCAGCAAGGCCGGGUGCGGAAGACCGGCUUUCGGUUUGUAAACCGUUUUGGCCUGUAAGGAGCCGUGUGUGACGGUACUUGGUAAAGAAGCACCGGCUAACUACGUG
rnacentral:rRNA from 1 species